AAUAGAUACCCUGGUAGUCCACGCCGUAAACGAUGAGUGCUAAGUGUUGGGGGGUUUCCGCCCCUCAGUGCUGCAGCUAACGCAUUAAGCACUCCGCCUGGGGAGUACGGUCGCAAGACUGAAACUCAAAGGAAUUGACGGGGGCCCGCACAAGCGGUGGAGCAUGUGGUUUAAUUCGAAGCAACGCGAAGAACCUUACCAGGUCUUGACAUCCCGGUGACCACUAUGGAGACAUAGUUUCCCCUUCGGGGGCAACGGUGACAGGUGGUGCAUGGUUGUCGUCAGCUCGUGUCGUGAGAUGUUGGGUUAAGUCCCGCAACGAGCGCAACCCUUAUUCUUAGUUGCCAUCAUUUAGUUGGGCACUCUAAGGAGACUGCCGGUGAUAAACCGGAGGAAGGUGGGGAUGACGUCAAAUCAUCAUGCCCCUUAUGACCUGGGCUACACACGUGCUACAAUGGACGGUACAAACGGUUGCCAACCCGCGAGGGGAGCUAAUCCGAUAAAACCGUUCUCAGUUCGGAUUGUAGGCUGCAACUCGCCUACA
rnacentral:rRNA from 1 species